UCCCUGGUGGCUCAGAGGUUAAAGCAUCUGCCUCCAAUGCAGAAGACCCAGGUUCAAUCCCUGAGUCAGGAAG
rnacentral:tRNA from 1 species